AUGUUUGCUUUGGCAACACAUCUACUAAAACUGGAAUGAUGCAGAGAAGAUUGGCAUGGCCCCCGAGUGAGGAUGGCAUGCAAAUUUAUGAAUAUUUUUAGAUAGUU
rnacentral:snRNA from 1 species